CAGUAGCCGCGGGAAUACAAAGGAUGCAAGCGUUAAUCGGAAUUACUGGGCGUAAAGCGCACGCAGGCGGUUUGUUAAGUCAGAUGUGAAAUCCCCGAGCUUAACUUGGGAACUGCAUUUGAAACUGGCAAGCUAGAGUCUUGUAGAGGGGGGUAGAAUUCCAGGUGUAGCGGUGAAAUGCGUAGAGAUCUGGAGGAAUACCGGUGGCGAAGGCGGCCCCCUGGACAAAGACUGACGCUCAGGUGCGAAAGCGUGGGGAGCAAACAGGAUUAGAUACCCCGGUAGUCCCUGUCUCUUAUAC
rnacentral:rRNA from 1 species